AGCAGCCGCGGUAAUUCCAGCUCCAAUAGCGUAUAUUAAAGUUGUUGCAGUUAAAAAAGCUCGUAGUUGAAUUUCGGGAUCAAUCUAUCGGUCGUGCAAUAGUACGUACUGAUUUUAUUGAUUCCUCCCUUCUGAUGAACUAUGAUGUCAUUAAUUUGGUGUCAUAGGGAAUCAGGACUGUUACUUUGAAAAAAUUAGAGUGUUUAAAGCAGGCUCACGCUUGAAUACAUUAGCAUGGAAUAACGAAAUAGGACGUUUGAUUCUAUUUUGUUGGUUUCUAGGAUCGACGUAAUGAUUAAUAGGGAUAGUUGGGGGCAUUAGUAUUCAAUUGUCAGAGGUGAAAUUCUUGGAUUUAUUGAAGACUAACUACUGCGAAAGCAUUUGCCAAGGAUGUUUUCAUUAAUCAAGAACGAAAGUUAGGGGAUCGAAGACGAUCAGAUACCGUCGUAGUCUUAACCAUAAACUAUGCCGACUAGGGAUCGGAUGAUGUUAAUUUUUAAUGACUCAUUC
rnacentral:rRNA from 1 species